ensembl:lncRNA
AUCUCAGCUUGGGGAUUGUUUCCCUUGGAGCGUUUAGUGAGCCCUGUCCUUGGAAAGGGAGAAUAAAGAUGGAUGAAAAUAAUAUUGAUGAAGAAUUAGUAAAAGAAGAGGAGACAACAACAGGGAGUCCCUGCCUACCUCGCUGCUGUCACUGCUUGGCUGGCCUAGCUUGUAGUCCUGGGAGUGUGAAAGAAGGCAAGUGAAUUCCAAGGACUUUGCCAGUGUGGUUGAAAGUCUCUAUACACUGGCAGAACAGACUUCUCUCAGUACAACCAAUAGUAGUUCCUCAUUACUUUGCUGUAUUCUCAGUUCCUUUUCAACAGUAACUGUGAAAUUAUUUCCUCCUCAGUGUUCUGAGUGAUGCAUUGUCUUGUAGUAAAUAUCACUGCUGUUCUUAAGCCUGAUCAUAACAGUCUAUUUCUCAGUGGUGGAGACCUUGUGGGAUCUGAUGAUCCUGUUGUGCAAAUGGCCCAGAUUCUUUGUUUGAACCUCAUUUACUCUUUUCUUGUAACUUAUUCCACACAAGGAAGAAGAACUGCCUAUUUCUUAUGCAAGACUGAUAGAAUAACUGAAACAACCAAAAACUAAAGGUGAACUGCAGUGUGAUUGGCUGUGCUCUUCACUUGCUCAAGUGGAGAUCUGAAGAUGUGCUCACGUUUUUAGAUCUAAUUAGGAAGAUUGACAAAUUUGAAACAGAAAUUAACUCAAGACCUUCCUUGUCUCCUGAACUAGAACUGUUUUUAAACAAAUAACGUUAUAGCUGGCACCGUUAGAAGCUCGUAAUGACAAAUUGAUCUUUCAAACUGCGUCAGGGAAAUCUUUCUUUGUCUAUGAUUACAGCGCACCAAAAGAAGAAUAUCUAAUUGGUUAGUUUAUUAAAAAAAUUUUUUACAUAUAUCAGAUUAAAACGAGUGACUUGGUGAUGCCCACCAGUCUGCUGCUCAGCAGGAAUUAUCAGGAUUUUGAUCAUGCUUUGCUCAAUAUGUGCCUUUUCAUUUUUCUCUAUAUUCAACCCUUCCUUUUUUUCUUAUUGAAGAAAAAUCUUUCUGCCCCUACUGUUUAGAGAAUUGCAUUCUCCUGCUCAACUGACCCUAAAACAUUCAUUGCUCUGUGGCUGAUUUAGUGCACUUGCUUGCAUGCUUGAUAACAGCGUAAAUGCC